rnacentral:rRNA from 1 species
AAGCUCGUAGUUGAAUUUCGGGGUUAGUAGGUUGGUCAUGCCUCUGGUAUGUACUGGUCUCACUGAUUCCUCCUUCCUUAUGAACCGUAAUGCCAUUAAUUUGGUGUUGCGGGGAAUUUGGACUGUUACUUUGAAAAAAUUAGAGUGUUUAAAGCAAGCUAACGCUUGAAUACAUUAGCAUGGAAUAAUGAAAUAGGACGUUCGAUCUUAUUUGUUGGUUUCUAGGAUUGACGUAAUGAUAAUAGGAUAGUUGGG